rnacentral:rRNA from 1 species
AUUGAACGCUGGCGGCAUGCUUUACACAUGCAAGUCGAACGGCAGCGGGGAGGAGCUUGCUUCUCUGCCGGCGAGUGGCGAACGGGUGAGUAAUACAUCGGAACGUGUCGAGAAGAGGGGGAUAACCACCCGAAAGGGUGGCUAAUACCGCAUAAAUUCUGAGGAAGAAAGCUGGGGACCUAGGAAUAGGCCUAGCGCUUUUUGAGCGGCCGAUGUCGGAUUAGCUAGUUGGUGAGGUAAAGGCUCACCAAGGCGAAGAUCUGUAGCGGGUCUGAGAGGAGGACCCCCCCCACUGGAACUGAAAACGGGCCCAGACCCCUAGGGGGGGCAGGAGGGGGAAAUUUGGAAAAAGGGGGGCAACCCUAAUCCACCCAGGCCGGGUGAAUGAAAAAGGCCUUAGGGUUGUAAAGUACUUUUUUUAGGAAAAAAAAGUAAGCUGGAAAAAAUGGCUGAUCCGGACGGUACCAAAAAAAAAAGCACCGGCUAACUACGG